CAGCCGCCACGGGAAUACGAAGGGGGCUAGCGUUGUUCGGAAUUACUGGGCGUAAAGGGCGCGUAGGCGGCCAUUCAAGUUAGAUGUGAAAGCCCUGGGCUCAACCUAGGAAUUGCAUUUGAUACUGUUUGGCUUGAGUUCGGGAGAGGUGAGUGGAAUUCCCAGUGUAGAGGUGAAAUUCGUAGAUAUUCGGAAGAACACCAGUGGCGAAGGCGGCUCACUGGCUCAUUCUAGACGCUGAGGUGCGAAAGCGUGGGGAGCAAACAGGAUUAGAUACCCCUGUAGUCCCUGUCUCUUAUAC
rnacentral:rRNA from 1 species